rnacentral:rRNA from 1 species
CUUUCGAGAUAUGUGCACACCUCUUGUCCAAAUUUCUACACCUGUGCACCUUUGUAGGCAGUAACAUGUCUAUGUUUUUUAAUACACCCUSUUAUAAAAGUUCAGAAUGCUUGAUUAAUAAUAACAAUACAACUUUCAACAACGGAUCUCUUGGCUCUCGCAUCGAUGAAGAACGCAGCGAAAUGCGAUAAGUAAUGUGAAUUGCAGAAUUCAGUGAAUCAUUGAAUCUUUGAACGCACCUUGCGCUCCUUGGUAUUCCGAGGAGCAUGCCUGUUUGAGUGUCAUUAAAUUCUCAAUCCCUCUUCUCUCUUGAAGAGGCUUUGGAUUUGGAGUGUUGCUGGCUUUUGUCAGCUCCCCUCAAAUGCAUUAGCUUGAUACUCUUUUGUGGAUAGGCUUUGUGGUUUGAUAAUAUCUAUGCCAUUGCCGUGAAACAAAUGUCAGCUUCCAACAGUCCUAUUUGGACAAGUCUUUUGACAUUUUGACCUCAAAUCAGGUAGGACUACCCGCUGAACUUAAGCAUAUCAAUAAGCGGAGGAAAAGAAACUAACAAGGAUUCCCCUAGUAACUGCGAGUGAAGCGGGAAAAGCUCAAAUUUAAAAUCUGGCAGUCUUUUAGCUGUCCGAGUUGUAAUCUAGAGAAGUGCUUUCCGCGCUGGACCGUGUACAAGUCUCCUG